GACGAACGCUGGCGGCGUGCUUAACACAUGCAAGUCGAACGAUGAAGAAAAGAAUUGAAGCUUCGGCAGAAAUUCAUUUCGGAUUAGUGGCAGACGGGUGAGUAACGCGUGAGCAACCUACCUCUUACAAAGGGAUAGCCUCGGGAAACCGGGAUUAAUACCAUAUAACAUUGCGACGAAGCAUUUCGAUGCAAUCAAAGCUACGGCGGUAAGAGAUGGGCUCGCGUCCCAUUAACCAGAUGGUGAGGUAACGGCUCACCAUAGUAACGAUGGGUAACCGGCCUGAGAGGGUGAACGGUCACACUGGAACUGAGACACGGUCCAGACUCCUACGGGGGGCAGCAGUGGGGAAUAUUGCACAAUGGAGGGAACUCUGAUGCAGCGACGCCGCGUGAGUGAUGAAGGAAUUCGUUUCGUAAAACUCUGUUCUAUGGGAAGAAAAGGACUGUACCAUAGGAGAAAGCUCCGGCUAAAUACGUG
rnacentral:rRNA from 1 species